rnacentral:rRNA from 1 species
AGCUCCAAUAGCGUAUAUUUAAGUUGUUGCAGUUAAAAAGCUCGUAGUUGGAUCUUGGGACGUAAAGGUCGGUCCGCCUACUCGGUGUGCACCUGCCCUUCCGUCCCUUUUGUCGGCGGCGUGCUCCUGGCCUUAAUUGGCUGGGUCGCGGUUCCGGCGCUGUUACUUUGAAAAAAUAAGAGUGCUCAAAGCAAGCUUAUGCUCUGAAUACAUUAGCAUGGAAUAACGUGAUAGGAGUCUGGUCCUAUUGUGUUGGCCUUCGGGACCGGAGUAAUGAUUAAUAGGGACUGUCGGGGGCAUUCGUAUUUCAUUGUCAGAGGUGAAAUUCUUGGAUUUAUGAAAGACGGACCACUGCGAAAGCAUUUGCCAAGGAUGUUUUCA